rnacentral:other from 1 species
CCACUGCUGCCCGGUGCGUGUUGGAUCGUCAUAUUCCCGGGGCCUUAUCGAUUCCUAAGGGAGCUGUCCCUGACCUGGCCCGUGGGCCAGGACACACGGCGCCCACCUACUCUGUAGGUUCCCGGGAUCGAGCAUCCCACGGCCAGGGCGGCACCUUA